CCAUGCCCAUGCCUCAUCUCAUCCACCCUAUGACCAAAUCCCAUACAAAUUCUAGGAAGCCAAGCGACUGGAACGCCCUUCAUUGCAGCAUUACAACAUUCAAGGAAGUCAAUACCUAGGGUGUUUAAAAAAUUAAGAGAUUUGGAAAGAUUGAAGAAGAGAUUGAAAUGCUUCAAUGCAAACUGAAGAACAUAGAAAAGGGUAUUGCUUUUUCUGGUAAGAAGACAAAGACUGCCAGAUCUCAAGGGAUGAAGAUUCAAAUAACUGUUGAACAUGAAAGAACAAGCUGGUUUGCUGCUUGUUGAUUUACCUCAAUGAAGAUAAAGCUCACGGUUCUUUAUAAUUAUGAAUAUAAUCAGAAUAUUAUUUCUUUUAAUUUUUCUCCAUGGGAACAUGGUCAAGGAGGUGUGUGGAAGAUACGAGUUGAAUUGCCAGAUGCUUAGCCUUACAAAUCUCCAUCAAUUGUCUUUUUCAACAAGAUCUGUCACCCAAAUAUCGAUGAAAUGAACCAAGAAAACAAA